rnacentral:rRNA from 1 species
UACGUAGGUGACCAGCGUUGUCCGGAUUUACUGGGCGUAAAGAGCGCGCAGGCGGUCGUUCAAGUCGAGUGUGAAAGCCCCCGGCUCAACUGGGGAACUGCGCGGGAAACUGUGGGGCUUGAGUUCGGGAGAGGGAAGCGGAAUUCCGGGUGUAGCGGUGAAAUGCGUAGAUAUCGUGAGGAAUACCAGAGGCGAAGGCGGCUACCUGGACAAUUGCUGACGCUCAGGCACGAAAGCGUGGGGAGCAAAAGGG